GGUUGUAAAGACGAAUGCAGUUGAUGUAAAAAGCCUGCUGAUUUGUUCUGCCAAAUUAUGGAGACGGAAGCGGUGCAGCUGCCGCGUGCAUCUGCCAUGUCUACUCUUACGGAGAUUGGUUUUGGCUCAGCCGGGGCAGUUAUACGACAGCAGGAGGGCAUUAUGGCUGGAUGUCAACCAAUCAGGCUUCAAGAAAGGCCAUUAAACCGAGACUGCAUUGCUGUCAGUCACAGAAGCCCUGCGGAUCGCAAAAGCUGCUUCCAAAUCAUCAGUCCUUAUCCUCCCGGACUUUCUUCGACACUGUGAAUCAUCAGAUCCUGUCCAAUCUUUCAUCACUGGGCAUCACUGGAACUUCCCUCCACUGGUUUGAGUCCUAUCUCACAGGUAAAGUCCUUCAGGGUCACAUGGAAAGGUGAGGUAUCCAAAGCACAUCAACUGACCACAGGGGUUCCCCAGGGUUCUGUUCUUGGACCGCUCCUCUUCUCCAUUUACACUACAUCACUGGGACCCAUCAUACCGGCACAUGGUUUCUCUUACCAUUGCUAUGCUGAUGACACCCAGCUCUACCUCUCAUUUCAACCAGAUGAUCCCCACAGUAGCUGCACGUAUCUCAAGCUGUCUGGCGGACAUCUCGGCAUAGAUGAAGGAACAUCACCUGCAGCUCAACCUGGCUGAGACUAAACUUCUCGUCCUCCCUGCCAAUCCGUCUCUACAGCACGACUUCACUAUCCAGCAAGAUUCUUCUUCAAUCACCCCUUCAAGAUCGGUCAGGAAUCUUGGAGUAAUCUUUGAUGACCAGCUGACCUUAGACCACAUUACAAAGACAGCUCGAUCAUGCAGGUUUGCAAUGCACAACAUCAGGAAGAUCAAGCCUUUCCUAACCGAGCAGGCGACACAGCUUCUUGUCCAGGCCCUUGUUAUUCAGCCCAUUCUCACCCCCAAGGCGUCACUUAACUGACGCCUUGGGAAGAAUUUGGACA